rnacentral:tRNA from 1 species
GCCGAUGUGGUGAAAUUGGUAGACACGCCACCUUGAGGGGGUGGUGACUUAGGUUGUGCCGGUUCAAAUCCGGCCAUCGGCACCA